GCACAGCGAACUUGCACUGCCUGUUGUCCUCUCUCCACCUGCCCUUUGGCUCCUUGACUUUUUCUGGCUUUUCCUUGGACUUCCUGGGCUGUCCCUUGUAGCACUCUCUCCUCUUUGGCAUCUGCUCGUGUUUCUUCCCCUGCCAGCCAAGCCUGAAGGCAUCUACAGACAACAGAAAUAAGUGAUAAUGAAUAAGAAUUGGAAACAGGACAGACUGCUGCCUGAGUCUCAUUGAAAUGAGUGUAGCAAGACACAGGCUCUUUCAACAAACUUUGUUAUUUUAGUGAACAGCAACAACUAAUACGCAGUUAUGAUACAACACCCUCUACAACUCCCAACCAAAAACCUCUGCAAGAAAUAGUUUGUGACUGCUUGGGAAGAAAGCAAAGGAAAAAUUUACUUUGGAGAAUAUUCUGGCUCCUGGAAUCAAGACAGCUGAAAGCAGAGGAAAUCUAAAGGAGUGACAGACAUUUUGAAAGAAAGACUGCUAGCCUGGAAACAAUCUCAGCUGCUUACAUUUGAAAUCAAAUAUCUUAAUCUGUCACUAUUUUCUGAGUUACCACAGUC
rnacentral:lncRNA from 1 species